CAAAUCUGACCGGGGGACCCCAAAUCUGACCAGGGAACCCCAAAUCUGACCGGGGGGACCCCAAAUCCUCGGCUUUGGGGGGUUCUGGGACAUUUUGGGGUCCAUGAGGGGUUUUUGGCGUCCCCGUGAGUUUUGGGGUGCCCCCUGUGGAUUUUGGGGUCCUUGAGGGGGUCUCUGUGGGGGUUUUGGGGUCCCUUGGGGUCUCUGUGAGUUUUGGGGUACCUCCGGGAUGUUUUGGGGUCUCUGUGAGUUUUGGGGUGCCCCCUGUGGAUUUUGGGGUCCUUGAGGGGGUCUCUGCGGGUUUUUUGGGGUCUCUGUGGGGUUUUUGGGGUCCCACUGGGAUGUUUUGGGGUCCCUGUGGGGUUUUUGGGGUCUCUGUGAAUUUUGGGGUGCCCCCUGUGGAUUUUGGGGUCCUUCUGGGGUCUCUGUGGGGUUUUUGGGGUCCCACUGGGAAGUUUUGGGGUCCCCCCGGGUUUUGGGGUCAUUGAGUGAAGUUUUGGGGUCUCUGUGAGGUCUCCGUGUAUUUUGGGGUCUCUGUGAGUUUUGGGGUCCCUGCGUGGGGUUUUUGGGGGUCCCUGUGUAUUUUGGGGUCCCCCACUUUGUGCUUUGGGGUCUCUGUGGGGUUUUCGGGGUCCCUGAGGGGUCUCUGUGGGUUUUUUGGGAUCUCUGUGAGUUUUGAGGUCCCCCCGGGAUGUUUUGGGGUCCCCCCCGGGUUUUGGGGUCCCCCCGGGAUGAUUUUGAGGUCCCCCCGGGUUUUGGGGUCCCCUGGGAUGUUUUGGGGUCCCGGGAUGUUUUUGGGGUUCCCGGGAUGUUUUGGGGUCCCCCCGGGAUGUUUUCGGGUCCCCCCCCGGUUUUUGGGGUCCCCCUGGAUGUUUUGGGGUUCCCGGGAUGUUUUGGGGUCCCCCCGGGAUGUUUUGGGGUCCCCCCGGUUUUUGGGGUCACCCCGGGGGCCGCUGGGGGACGCAGCCGCCGAGCUCCAGCGCCUGCGGCCACCCCUCGUACUUGUUGGAGCCGCGGCUGUUCCGGACGUGCUGCGGGGGUCCCAAAGUGCCCAAAAUCACCCCAAAA
rnacentral:lncRNA from 1 species